rnacentral:rRNA from 1 species
GAUGAACGCUGGCGGCGUGCCUAAUACAUGCAAGUCGAGCGAACGGACGAGAAGCUUGCUUCUCUGAUGUUAGCGGCGGACGGGUGAGUAACACGUGGAUAACCUACCUAUAAGACUGGGAUAACUUCGGGAAACCGGAGCUAAUACCGGAUAAUAUUUUGAACCGCAUGGUUCAAAAGUGAAAGACGGUCUUGCUGUCACUUAUAGAUGGAUCCGCGCUGCAUUAGCUAGUUGGUAAGGUAACGGCUUACCAAGGCAACGAUGCAUAGCCGACCUGAGAGGGUGAUCGGCCACACGGGAACUGAGACACGGUCCAGACUCCUACGGGAGGCAGCAGUAGGGAAUCUUACGCAAUGGGCGAAAGCCGGACGGAGCAAAGCCGCGUGAGUGAUGAAGGUGUUCGGAUCGUAAAACUCUGUUAUUAGGGAAGAACAUAUGUGUAAGUAACUGUGCACAUCUUGACGGUACCGAAUCAGAAAGCCACGGCUAACUACGUG